CGUCACCUGCGGUGUUCGACAGUGAGUCGGGUUACCUCUCGACCGUAAUUGAAACGCCCAGGGAUAUCUGCCUUAACGGCACAGCUGUGCAAGUCCGCCAUGAGCGGAAAGCCUUACUGGUCGUGGCGCGUCCCACCUGUUGCUCUGGUUCGAGAGCAACGAUUUGCACCGGCAUCUGCGGGUGACGC
rnacentral:other from 1 species